UCACCCCCAGGGCAUCUGAGCCAGAAGUUCUGGGGUGGAGCCCGAGAAUCUGCAUUUUUAACAAGUUCCCAAGUGGUGCCA
rnacentral:miRNA from 10 species